rnacentral:rRNA from 1 species
CCCUUAGAUGUCCUUGGCCGCACGCGCGCUACACUGACAUGUUCAACAAGCCUCCUAGUUCGACAGGAUUUGGGAAAUCUUUGAACGCAUGUCGUGAUAGGGAUAGAUCAUUGCAAUUAUUGAUCUUGAACGAGGAAUUCCUAGUAAACGCGAGUCAUCAGCUCGCAUUGAUUACGUCCCUGCCCUUUGUACACACCGCCCGUCGCACCUACCGAUUGAAUGUUUCGGUGAAGAUUCCGGAUAGGACUUUUUUGAUUUAUUUCAAUUUUGUCUUAAAAGCUAUCUAAACCUCAACAUUUAGAGGAAGGUGAAGUCGUAACA